GGUUGAUCUGGAAUGUUUUUUUAUUAUUAUUUAAACAAUAUAUAGUCUUUACAUUUGUUUCAAAAACAGCUAGAGCUUAUGCUUAUCAAGGAAACUUAUGUAAUUUAAUUAAUAUACAAGAUUUUGUUAAAAAGAAAUGAAAAACACACACACAGGCAUGCACAUACAUAAACGGAAUACAGUUUUAGUUUCAGCAAUAUACGUUUGAACUAUUGUAAACAAAUUACUAUUUUACAAUAGGAUUUACUUGGAAUACCAUUCAACAUCCAGUUAAAUUUAGUUCGAUUGGAUGCAUUCAACCAAGUAUUUCCUAUUAACCGAGCGGCAGAGGUAAGCAAAAUGCUACGAGGAGCAGUGUAACGGUCGCAAUGUAGAAACAAGUGUUUGACUGUUUCAUCUGAUAUUCAACAAGCACACAUUGGCAAGGGGGGAACACAAUUCGUGCGAUAUAGGUUGUAAUCUGACGCACUGUUGCCUAUACAACCUUAAUCUUGUAUGGAGUACAGCUAUAUAACGAUCACCAAAAUAAUAUAGGCGAUUACGAACAGGAUACUUGUUCCAUUUAAUUAAUCUUUUCUUAAACAUAGCAAGAUUUUGACAGUUUCGAACUUCUACAGGCAGUAAUUUCCAUAAUCUAAUCGCAGAGGGUAGAAAUGACUUUUUGUGCCGUUCAGUACGCGAGGGAGGUAUACUAAGGUUCAGGGGCGGAUCUAGGGGUGGUCAAACCAGUCACGCGACUAACGUAAAAAUUGCAAACUUAAUUAAAGUCUUAAAUAUUCGACCAAUAGUCCAGUUAUUCAACUAAUUUUUUAUCAUGCAGCGACACCUUAUAAUAGUCCAGUAACUAUUAUCAUGCAGCGCUAGCAAUUUACAUUCCAAGUGAUCAAAUUUCAUUCCAGUGAU